rnacentral:rRNA from 1 species
AUUGAACGCUGGCGGCAGGCCUAACACAUGCAAGUCGAGCGAGCGGCGGACGGGUGAGUAAUGUAUGUGGAAUCCCCGUUAGAGGGGGGGAUCUCCUGGAGAUGGUAGAUAUUACCGCAUACUAUCGGAUAACCCAUAUGGGGUUAGCUAGUAGGUGGGGUAAUGGCUCACCUAGGCGACGAGCCCUAGCUGGUCUGAGAGGAGGAUCAGCCACACUGGAACGGAGACACGGCCCAGACUCCUACGGAGGCAGCAGUGGGGAAUAUUGCACAAUGGGCGCAAGCCUGAUGCAGCCAUGCCGCGUGUAUGAAGAAGGCCCUAGGGUUGUAAAGUACUUUCAGUCGGGAGGCGUUACCGGCAGAAGAAGCACCGGCUAACUCCGUGCCAGCAGCCGCGGUAAUUC